rnacentral:lncRNA from 1 species
GAUUUUUAUACGUAAAUGCAUUUUGUACAUAUAUACAAAUAUAGUACGUGGGUGUUGUACAUAUAUAUAUGUAUAUCGUAUAAAAUGCAUUUACGUAUAAAAAUCAAUGACAAAAUAAAGAACAUUGAUUGUAGGCCGUUUAUAAUAUGAGGAUCAUGUCAUAAGUAAUAAUUAUUAAACAUGCUAUUUUAAACAACAUAUACUUAUACGUACAUACAUACAUUCAUACAAGCAUAUAUACAUAUACGCCCUUUUUAAUAAUCAAAACGGGACAUGCGAAAUUUUAAUAAGUGAACAAUAACAACACAUUUGAAUACUCAGAAUGUCAAUAAUGGAAAACAACGACAAUAACUACAAUUAUAAUCAACCAGUAGUAGAUAACAGCAUGAAUAAUAAUGUCGGUAAAAAAAAACGAACAAGAAAUAGAUUUGGUGAUUUUUUUGGUUCUUUUUCGAACAGUAAUUUAAUACCAUUAAAUAAUAAUCGUUUCUCAACUACUACAAAUAAUGAUAGUAACUCUAACAUUGAUAAUAAUAAUAAUAAUAUAAAUACAUCAACUGAAACAUAUAAUUUUGUAAAUGAUUUUAAAAAUAAUAUGCAAAACAUAAAUGAAUGUUCAACAUUAAACGAUACAGCAAAUGGAUCAAUAAAUACUAAUUAUGAUAUGACCUCUGCUAAUUCUGAAAGUGCUUUUAAUACUAACCAUUCCAAUAGUCAAACUAAUUUGUCAAAUAAAAGCAACGAAAGUAAUGAAAGAAAUGAAAGCAACGAAAGUAAUGGAAGCAACGAAAGCAACGAAAGUAAUGAAAGAAAUGAAAGCAACAAUGAAAAUGUCACAACAACAAAUAACAACAUGAAUACGAAUGAUGAAAAUAAUACGAAUAAUGCAAAUGAUGAACACAGUGAAAACGACAUGGAUAGUGAAAGCAAUAAAUCAGAUGGUAGUAAUAUAAGCAAUAAUAAUGAUAGUGAUCAUAAUAAUAAUAAAAAAAAAAAGAGAAGAAAAAGUGAACAACAAAAUAACAUUAAUAGUACUUGCGAUAAUAAUACUGCUAGCGAUAAUAAUACUACUGAAGAUAAUAAUAGUAAUAUUCUACCUCCAAUCCCCCCAUAUAAUCCCAACAAUAUAACAGAAGGUUACAACACGUUAAAUAACACUAUGGGAAAUGUUAAUCCGAUGUAUAACCCUUACAUGUCAGCCAUGAACCCCUUAACUGGGGAUAUGUUUUCAAAUAAUAAUCCUAACACUAAUCCUAAUACUCUUCCACUAAAUGCUCCUCCACUAAAUGCUCCUCCACCAAAUGGUCCCCCACCAAAUGGUCCUCUACCUAAUACCCUCACUCACAACACUUCCACUCACAACACUUCCACUCACAAUACUCCCACUCACAACACUUCCACUCACAACACUCCCACUCACAACUCCCCCACUCCCAAUAUUACCACUACUGGUGCCAAUACUAAUAAUCCGUUGCCAUCCUCACAAAUGAACAUGUAUCACCCAUCACAGGGAAACAUGCUUUAUAAUACUUUUUACAACUACAUGGAUGGAAAAAAUUACUUAAAACACAUGAAAUAUAAUAAAAUUAUUCCUACUGAUCCAACUAUUCCUGCCAAUCCAACACUAUAUAUAAAAAAUUUGAAUGAUAAAAUAAAAACAGAAGAAAUGAAAAAAAACAUUAAAAGAAUUAUUCCAACAAUAUGGUACCAUAGAAGAUCUAAUUGUUAUGAAAUCAUUUUGGAGAAAAGGACAAGCAUGGGUUGUUUAUGAUAAUAUAGAUAGCUCUACAAAAGCUUUAAACACAUUGCAAGGGUUCAUAUUAUAUGGAAAAUAUAUGCAAAUAAAUUAUUCACAUAAUGAAAGUGAUGUACA